UACGGAGGGGGCUAGCGUUGUUCGGAAUUACUGGGCGUAAAGCGCACGUAGGCGGCUUUGUAAGUUAGAGGUGAAAGCCCAGGGCUCAACCCUGGAAUUGCCUUUAAGACUGCAUCGCUCGAAUCAUGGAGAGGUGAGUGGAAUUCCGAGUGUAGAGGUGAAAUUCGUAGAUAUUCGGAAGAACACCAGUGGCGAAGGCGACUCACUGGACAUGUAUUGACGCUGAGGUG
rnacentral:rRNA from 1 species